rnacentral:rRNA from 1 species
CAGCAGCCGCGGUAAUACGUAGGUGGCAAGCGUUGUCCGGAAUUAUUGGGCGUAAAGGGCUCGCAGGCGGUUUCUUAAGUCUGAUGUGAAAGCCCCCGGCUCAACCGGGGAGGGUCAUUGGAAACUGGGAAGCUUGAGUGCAGAAGAGGAGAGUGGAAUUCCACGUGUAGCGGUGAAAUGCGUAGAGAUGCGGAGGAACACCAGUGGCGAAGGCGACUCUCUGGUCUGUAACUGACGCUGAGGAGCGAAAGCGUGGGGAGCGAACAGGAUUAGAUACCCCGGUAGUCCCUGUCUCUUAUAA